CCUACGGGAGGCAGCAGUCGAGAAUCAUUCACAAUGGAGGAAACCCUGAUGGUGCGACGCCGCGUGGGGGAAUGAAGGUCUUCGGAUUGUAAACCCCUGUCAUGUGGGGGCAAAUUAAAAAGAUAGUACCACAAGAGGAAGAGACGGCUAACUCUGUGCCAGCAGCCGCGGUAAUACAGAGGUCUCAAGCGUUGUUCGGAAUCACUGGGCGUAAAGCGUGCGUAGGCUGUUUCGUAAGUCGUGUGUGAAAGGCGCGGGCUCAACCCGCGGACGGCACAUGAUACUGCGAGACUAGAGUAAGGGAGGGGGAACCGGAAUUCUAGGUGUAGCAGUGAAAUGCGUAGAUAUCGAGAGGAACACUCGUGGCGAAGGCGGGUUCCUGGACAUUAACUGACGCUGAGGCACGAAGGCCAGGGGAGCGAAAGGGAUUAGAUACCCUGGUAGUC
rnacentral:rRNA from 1 species